AACGCACAUUGCACCCCCUGGUAUUCCAGGGGGUAUGCCUGUUCGAGCGUCAUUGCAAUCCUCAAGCACUGCUUGGUAUUGGAUGUUACCACUUGGUGCAUCUCAAAAAUAUUAGCAGUGGCAUUCAGCUUCUAGUGUAGUAAUUUUCUCGCUUAGGAGUCUCGAGUGUCUAACUGCUAGAAACCCUCUAAUUAUCACAAAGGUUGACCUCGGAUCAGGUAGGGAUACCCGCUGAACUUAA
rnacentral:misc_RNA from 1 species